CGCGUAAGAAAGGAUCACCAGUCGUUCUUAAAGUCGCUCUUAACUUACGAACAGCUUUAUGAAACGGCCCCCAGUAUUUAUACCACUACUAGGUUGCUGAAAAAUAGUUCAAAAUAACAUCUUUUUUUAGAUUUUCUUAAAGAUAAAAAAAAUCAACAUGAUACCAUACUUCAUAUUUAUGUUCCAUCGUUCUAUCUAACAAUACUGGAAUACUAUUGCACAGUCCCCACUGCAUUUGACCUCCUUGGCAGUCAAUUUCCCUUUUAGAAGUUGAUUUGUUUGAAUAUUGUCUUCACCUAAGGUGUCAAGCCAAACCAGAACAUCACAGUGGCCGUCAGUCCUAUCGAGAGAACCAUCAAUCAUAAAGAGAUUCCAGGAGUUAUCAUUAAGUUUGCUAGUUCAUCUGUCAGUCAGAUCUAUUCCAAGGCAGAGGACAUAUUAAGCCCUGUCUUCCCUAUGCUUGGUGGGAAUCCAUUCCAGGAUAAGCAUUGAUUCAUCUUCUAACCAUCCACUCAUCAUCUGGUAUACAGUCAUCAUGGCUUAAGCACUACUGUUCUUUAAUCAUUCUAUCAUUAACACUAACGUACCUUUUAGGGGUUUUUUUUGCGAUAAAUCCGCCGGUUAAAUACUUUUACCAUACUUUCCCUGACUCUUUACUUUCAAGUCUUGUGCAACUUUUGAGACCAAAUUUGUGACAGCUUGUUGGUACGCGAUAUAGAAAUAUUGUAAUUUUAUGGUUAUUACAGACCUCAAAUUGCCAAAGAGCAUGAUUUCAUGUAGCAAAUUUCUAGACAUCUAGACUUAUCUCUUUUCAUUGUUGUAGUGCAAUGUAGUUCAAUUGAAUAUUACAAUAUAAAGUAGGAUGUAAUGUAUAUUUAAUGUAGCUUUAUUUGAGUAUAAUGUAAAAUAAUAUUGUUAUAUAAUGAAACUCAAAUUAAUAAUUGCUCAAAAAUAUGUAAGAAAUAAUUCAUUUGUAAAGCGUAUACAUGUAGAGAUCACAAAUAUGCGCUAAUAAGUACCACAUGCUUAUUAUCACUAUGUACAAAGUCAAUACAAAAUGUUUUUUUUCAGCUAAAAUUCAUACAUGAGAGUCAUUAUUUUUACUUUCAUUGACAGCAGUCAAAAUGAGCAAUAUUUUUACGCAGGCUAGCUUCAAUAAUCUUUACUAAGCACAUAAUGAAGAGAUUGGUUUAAUCACAGAGAGGCUAUAUCCCCUCACAUCAAUUGGUUUCAGAAUCCAAAGUCACAAAAUUACAAAAGAAAGACCAAUGAAAAUGAGAUGGAAUUAAACAAACUUUCAAGUUUAUGAAUGUAUGUCCUUCUUAAAAAUGUUUUAGUAAUUUGCUCAAUCACAAAACUCUACAGGAAAUUAUCAUCAACAUUUAAAUUACUGGAAUAGUCACACAGCCACCCACAUCCCCCCUGCGGAUGUCCUGGCAAGCAGAGAUAAUCUGAACAUAAUGUGUGUCUGUGUGUACCUCUUUCAGCCUCACACAAACACUGUGUUCAGAUUAUCCCCUGCUAACCGGGACAUCCCUGGGGAUCUGUGUGUGGUUGUGUGAUUGGCGCAGUUAUUUCAAAUUUUUAUUUUAAAUUUUGUUGGUUUCUUUGGGAUUAUAUGGAAGUCAAUCACUUAAACAUGCCUGUGAACAAUAUGGGUAGUAAAUUGGCAAGUUUGUUUAAUCUCAUCUCAUUUUGAUUGGUCUUUCUUUUGUAAUUUAGUGACUUUGGAUUCUGAAAUCAAUUAGUCACGUGAGGGGCUAUAGCCUUUCUGUGAUUGAGCCAAUUGUGUAUCGCCCUUGUAAAGUUUGAUCAGUUCCUUUUGGAACCCAGUUUACAUGUUGAUACGAAAUGGAAGUGAUACCUGGUUUUUCAUUAAUAUACAAUUGUGAGGGUGAUCGGUUCAUCACGGACGGACAUUUGAUAGAUUUUGAAAACUUUGAAGGCUUGUAACAAAUUAGGAAUAAGAUGAACAUGGUUCCUUUUUGUUUUAUAGUGAAGGGUAGGACAAAGUAUGCUGAAUGAUGAAAAAAGUUUGUUGCCAUGGUUACCUACAAACAUAGGUAUCCACUAAAUGUGCCAUAUCACGGACGGACAUGAUAGAAAUGUGGUUUUCAGAAUUUUCGUACAUUUUUAUUGUUUCUAUCUAAAUAGCUUAACAUUUACCAAUAAUUGUUAAUGCAACUAAUACUCAGGUAUAUUAGCUUCUAUGUUCAGCAUAUUGAAUUCUUAACCAAUAUCAAAUUUCUGAGAGAAUUGCAAACAUUUUCCAUCACGGACGGACAUCUCGGACGGACGUCACGGACGGACACAAUAAAAAUACAUUGAAAGUACCUUUUAAGAAGUUCUUAUUACUUUUUGGGGGAACAAAUGCUAUUGUAUUGAUGAUUUAUACAUUUUUAAAUAUGAUUAAACAGUAUUAAUUGCACAAUCAAGUUGCUGCAACUUUAAUCAAGUUGCUACAACUUGAUUUAAGUUGUAGCAACUUGAUCUCUAUGCUACAUGUAGACGCACAGUAUAAUCUGCAAAUAUGAUUGCUUUAAACACAUUUCUUGUCAAAAUCGUAAAGAAUGUCCUAAUGCACAUUGUCUUCUUUUAAAUAUUAUAGAAUACUGGUAGGUACCAAAUCAACAUCUAGUUGAUCAAUGAUCAUGUCGAAUCUUGAUACAAGUGAUAUAAUGAUGAUACAUGUUAAUACAUUUUAAGGCAUUACUUUUCCAAGACCAAAGAUGUUUUUAGGUCCAUUAUUAACUAAAUCCAAAAGAUUCACAAGUUGCUGAUCCUUAUGCUUGUUUGGUGGAUCAAGUAUGACCACAACACUUGUCAGAGGCUUUCUUCUAAUUCAUCUUUUGCCCAUAUUAAAGGGGAAACAUCCCAUAACAUCAACAGCCCUCAUGUAUUUAGGCCCUGACAGAAUCCAAAAUUGAAAUUGAUAAAUCAUAUACCAAUCAAAAGCUUAUUAAACUUCUAAACAAUGUAGUGCAAGCUUUAUAAAUAGUAUGCAUUUUCACAAUUACCAGACAAGCAAUUUUCUUCAAUAAAAUUAGCUCCAAAAUGGACUUUAAAAAUAUGUAUUCUUGUACUUUUCACAAGCCAAAAGACUGGGAUGGUGUCAUGUUCUGUUUUAAUAGAAGCAUUGUGAAUCCAUAGGUUUAUACAUGGAAAAAAAUGAUGAUUUUUCUGCUUAUCAGAUUAUGCAUUCUACAGUUUUGGACUUGUUCUUGCCAUACCUUAUUUCCUGCUUUUUUGGCAUACAUGUAGCUUUCCAAUUCUAUCUGCAAUUCUGCAUUCCAAUUAUGUUUAACAAUUUUUCCUGACAGUUUAGCCCCAAUAACAGCCAAACAAAGAAAUCACAAAAAAUUGUGAAGAGUUGUAGGUUUCCAUCCAUUUGAAUUCUGAAUAAUUCUCAGUGCCAUUUUUCACUGCAAAUUGAAACUAAAAUUAAAUUUGUAAUCUGCUCAGCAAAGUUUCUCAUUUGCAUGUAUGGAUCUUUCCAUAGUAUUAGCUUAUAUUGCUCACUUGUCCGUCCAUAAUGAAAUUAAUGUCCGUCCGUGAUCAUUUUUUUUAUUGAUUUAUGAUAUGCAUAAAAUGUAUGGAUUUUAGCUACGUUCAAAUAAAAUGAUGUACAGUGUCUAGUGA